AGCGGUGGAUCAUGUUGUUUAAUUCGAAGAUACACGAAAAACCUUACCAGGUCUUGACAUACUCUGCAAAGCUAUAGCAAUAUAGUGGAGGUUAUCAGGGAUACAGGUGGUGCAUGGUUGUCGUCAGCUCGUGUCGUGAGAUGUUAGGUUAAGUCCUAAAACGAGCGCAACCCUUGUCAUUAGUUGCCAGCAUGUCAUGAUGGGCACUUUAAUGAGACUGCCAAUGAAAAAUUGGAGGAAGGUGAGGAUCACGUCAAAUCAUCAUGCCCCUUAUGAUCUGGGCUACAAACGUGAUACAAUGGCUGUUACAAAGAGUAGCUGAAA
rnacentral:rRNA from 1 species